AACCAUAUAAUGUUGAAACAUUGGUUCUUGGCUGAUCACUGAAGUUAAGCAAUCUUGAGCUUGGUCAGUACCUAGACGUGUGACUGCUUGGGAAUACCAAGUGCUGUAA